GAGAAGAGUUAAGUAACAAGGAAACUG
rnacentral:tRNA from 1 species